rnacentral:lncRNA from 1 species
AUGGGGCUGAGUGUCACAAGGAACACUUUGAUCCUCCUCAAUCAUCUUUUUCACUUUGCGGUGCGGUGUAAAAGAUGGGAGGAUGUUUGGCUAGUCGAGAGCCGGAUGAUCUGGUUCCCGCUGCUCUUCGCAAGCCGUGACGUAAUUGUACGUGCUUCAGCUUUCCAGUUGGCCAGCGGUCUGACAAGCUCUAGAGCGGGUGCCGAAUUUAUGUUGACUGCAGUGGAUGGUCUUUGGAGCACGUCUUUAGGUGUUCUUAUGAAUCAUCGAGAAGCAAGUGUUGUAAGAGAGAAUGCAGGCAUGAUCUGCUCCAAUAUCAUAAGCCAUGGAACCAAAGACUUAAUGGUAGACCGGUGCAAAGAAAUAGGACUCUUUGAAUAUUUUUCUGUUAUUGUCUCCCAGUUAAGGAUAUCACCUCUCAUGGACUCAACGCAAGAAGGAUCUCCAACAACAAACGAAGACUAUGCACCAACCACGCCAGAUUUGUUGAAAGUCUGUUGCCUCCUCCUAAUGAAUUUAUGUUGUUUAAGGGAAACUACUCUGAGAGACGCCUAUCAAGAUGGAUUUACAGUUUCUUUGUUUAGAUUUUUAAGUUCUUUUCAAGUGCCAAAUAAUUUAUCGCGGGAUGUUGUAACGAUGUUAACUGCCAUGUGUUCGUUACUAGCUCAUACAAUGAACAAAGUUGAAAAUAUUCUUGUGCCCAACUGUACCAUUGUCAUUUUGCCUCUGUUGAAUACUGAUUUGUUUGGUGAGAAUUUAACGCUAGAGCGCGAUGCCUUGUGGGGUGAAUUGUGGUUUUUUAUAUCUACGAUUCCAUCAUCGUCCAGCUCACUAGUCAAUUUAAAUCCUCCUGCAAUUUCAGCAUUGUUAUACUCCCUCUCCAGCUCCAACCGGACUCUUCAAAUGAACGCAUUGGUCGCUGUUAGAGCUUUGUCUCCAAGUUUCAAUAGAGAUACAGCAAAUGAGUUAACUGUUUCGUUGUUAGCUCAUUGGGAUGUAUUUUCAAGUGGGAGCAAGCGAUUGGCUUUGUAUUCAGCAUUAGGUCAACUGUUCAUGGACUGGGGCGAAACGUCAGUGUGUGCUUUGAAACAUGAUUUUGGAAACCUUGUAUUGUUUAGAUUGAAGAAAAUCCACGUUGAUCUCAGUGUGGCUGCUCCAGACGUCCUCCGAUCGAAAAAAAAUCAUCCUACUUUAACUCACCUGAUUGAUCUUCUAGGCUUAUUAAGCAACUUCUUAGCCAGCAGUGAAUUAGUAAAAAAAGCAUGGCAGAGAAUGGUCUUGCAGCUGUCUUUCACAAUUUAUGGGUAUGGUGCUCUUUGA